AUUGAACGCUGGCGGCAGGCCUAACACAUGCAAGUCGAGCGAGCGGCGGACGGGUGAGUAAUGUCUGGGGAACUGCCUGAUGGAGGGGGAUAACUACUGGAAACGGUAGCUAAUACCGCAUACCAUCGGAUGUACCCAUAUGGGAUUAGUUAGUAGGUGGGGUAACGGCUCUCCUAGGCGACGAUCUCUAGCUGGUCUGAGAGGAUGACCAGCCACACUGGAACUGAGACACGGGCCAGACUCCUACGUGAGGCAGCAGUGGGGAAUAUUGCACAAUGGGCGCAAGCCUGAUGUAGCCAUGCCGCGUGUAUGGAGAAGGCCUUAGGGUUGUAAAGUACUGUCAGCGGGGAGUCGUUACCCGCAGAAGAAGCACCGGCUAACUCCGUGCCAGCAGCCGCGGUAAUAC
rnacentral:rRNA from 1 species